rnacentral:rRNA from 1 species
GACGAACUGUGCGAACGUUAUUCGGAAUCACUGGGCUUACAGGGUGCGUAGGCGGCCUGUUAAGUAGGGUGUGAAAUCCCCCGGCCCAACCGGGGAAUGGCGCUCUAAACUAGCAGGCUUGAGUGAGCUAGGGGUGCACGGAACUUCCAGUGGAGCGGUGAAAUGUGUUGAUAUUGGAAGGAGCACCGGAGGCGAAAGCGGUGCACUGGGGCUUAACUGACGCUGAGGCACGAAAGCCAGGGGAGCGAACGGG